GUGAAAUGGGAACUUUAGUAUAGAUUUCAGGUUCAUGUUAUUAUACUGUGGUGAAAUGGGAACUUAAGUAUAGAUUUCAGGUUCAUGUUAUUAUACUGUGGUGAAAUGGGAACUUAAGUAUAGAUUUCAGGUUCAUGUUAUUCUACUGUGGUGAAAUGGGAACUUAAGUAUAGAUUUCAGGUUCAUGUUAUUCUACUGUGGUGAAAUGGGAACUUUAGUAUAGA